rnacentral:rRNA from 1 species
AUUGAACGCUGGCGGCAUGCCUUACACAUGCAAGUCGAACGGCAGCAUAGAGAGCUUUCUCUCUGAUGGCGAGUGGCGAACGGGUGAGUAAUGCAUCGGAACGUACCGUGUAAUGGGGGAUAACGUAGCGAAAGUUACGCUCAUACCGCAUACGACCUGAGCGUGAAAGCAGGGGAUCGCAAGACCUUGCGUUAUACGAGCGGCCGAUGUCAGACCGGCUGGGUGGGGAGGUAAAGGCUCACAAAGGCGACGAUCUGUAGCGAGUCAGAGAGGAUGAUCCGCUACACUGGGACUGAGACACGGCCCAGACUCCUACGGGAGGCAGCAGUGGGGAAUUUUGGACAAUGGGGGCAACCCUGAUCCAGCCAUGCCGCGUGAGUGAAGAAGGCCUUCGGGUUGUAAAGCUCUUUCGGCCGGAAAGAAAUCGCACAGGCUAAUACUCUGUGUGGAUGACGGUACCGGCAUAAGAAGCACCGGCUAACUACGUGCCAGCAGCCGCGGUAA